GAAAAGCAGUCAGACCUAGCCCGCGCCCCCGUAGCCGCCUCCUCUCCUGCCGCCGCCGCCUCGGCCUUGUUCGCCUCCUCUCCUGCCGCCGCCACCGCCUUGGCCUCGGCGCCCAUGCUCUCCCGGCGCCCGUCGGCCUCGAUCCGGCCUCAGUAGGAGGAGCUCGGCCUCGAGACUCGGCAGGAGGAGCUCGCCCUCGAGUAGGACUCAACAGGAGGAGGGGAGCAGCAGCUGCGCCCCAUGCUCUCUCGCCACCCUCGAGGUGAAGGUAACGGAUGAAAUCCCAUGGACGAGCUCGAGCUGGAAGGACGCGGACGGCAGCGGCUUGGACCAACAUCGUCCUGCCGGUGCCUUGCCGGUGAGCGCCACGCAUGGUGCAGCAGGCGGCAGGCACGACUUUGGGAGCUGCGCAUCGAGCGACGACUACUGCAUCUGCCGCCAGCACCAAGCCAAGAUGUAGAGCGGUGGUCGACGGCGGCAACCUGCUCCCAAGUUGCAAGUGAUGUUGCCAGAUAGCAGUAUACCAAGGGUUCUAAGAAUUUGAUUCAUAAAUGUAGCCAAGAUGCAGCGCGGUGGUCGACGGCGGCGGCCUGCUCCCAAGUUGCAGGUUGCUAAUGCUGUUCAAACAGGUGCGUGCAUGGACAUCUUCAUGAUUACUGAUUAUAAGAUCUUCAUGAUUACUGAUUAUAAGUGAACACACGUAUCUUCUCUCGAGGUUCUGAGUGUUGAGAGUGGUUGCUCAUUGUUUCUGUAUUCAAAUACUGAUGAAUCAACACUUCCAAAAGAUAUACUGAUGGCCAAAGAAGAUUGGGGAAGUUCCACUAUGUUCCUACAGACUGUUGGCCAAAAAAGAUUGGGGGAAAAUAGCUCUGGAGAAGGAUUGAGAUGAAAAUGGGAUUGGGAUCUCACUUCGCAAUGCAUUGAAGAAUCAUGGUAGAACUUUUUAUAUUGCUGACUGAGAUGGCAAUUAGGAUUUAUUGCUUUUUACUAAUUUUUUAUUUUUUCUACUUUGCUCAGAUAAUUUAUACAGCCUGUUCUUUCUUUAGUACCAAUGAAUAACUUGGUUACACAAUAUACUUGAAGAUUGCAUUAGGAACAAAAUGCUUAGCAGACCAAACUAAUUAGGUAAGCUGAGAGCUGAUUGGUCUAACCCUAGAAUAAUUGGUUGCCAGUCAUAGAAUCAUCUUGUACUGUUGUACAUAACUAAUUUUGACUUGAACUUUGGUGUGGUCGUGUAUCUUUGAAGUUUUCUGGAGACAGACUACUCUUGCAUCAUUAUGUGCAACCCACAUGUAUCUCACUCGGCGAGACAUGCACACCUAUGCCACAUCUUUACAUGUUUCACAAAAACAUAAACAUGAUUGGAUGGGCGUCCUUGCCGGCGACCUCGCUAUCUCCAACCCAUCCACAGGUUGCUUGGUGUCCUCUCAUCGUGUCUAUUGGUGCAGUAUCACAUAUCCUCUCUCGAAGAGAUGAGAUAAGGAUUACAGGGCUACCAACAACCCACCUCACCUAUAAUGGAAGACAUCCUGAUUCAUUGUUGCAAGCUAGAGAACAAUAACUAUCAUGUUGGUGAUUUCCUUGAUAUAUGGUUCUACACGUGUGUCAUAUGGACCAAUGAAGCAAAGAUAUUGCGGAGA